UCUGGAAGAAUCUGGAGACAGGUGCUGCAUGGCUGUCGUCAGCUCGUGUCGUGAGAUGUUGGGUUAAGUCCCGCAACGAGCGCAACCCUUGCCUUUAGUUGCCAGCAGUUCGGCUGGGCACUCUAAAGGGACUGCCGGUGUUAAACCGGAGGAAGGUGGGGGAUGACGUCAAGUCCUCAUGGCCUUUAUGACCAGGGCUACACACGUACUACAAUGGCCGAUACAAAGGGCAGCGACACUGCGAGGUGAAGCCAAUCCCGUAAAAUCGGUCUCAGUCCGGAUUGGAGUCUGCAACUCGACUCCAUGAAGUUGGAAUCGCUAGUAAUCGUGGAUCAGCAUGCCACGGUGAAUACGUUCCCGGGCCUU
rnacentral:rRNA from 1 species